UACGAAGGGGGCUAGCGUUGCUCGGAAUCACUGGGCGUAAAGGGCGCGUAGGCGGUCUUGCAAGUCCUGUGUGAAAUCCCUCGGCUCAACUGAGGAACUGCACAGGAAACUGCUUGGCUUGAGUUCGGGAGAGGGAAGCGGAAUUCCGGGUGUAGCGGUGAAAUGCGUAGAUAUCCGGAGGAACACCGGUGGCGAAGGCGGCUUCCUGGACCGACACUGACGCUGAGGCGCGAAAGCGUGGGGAGCAAACAGG
rnacentral:rRNA from 1 species